rnacentral:rRNA from 1 species
AGUGAACGCUGGCGGUAGGCCUAACACAUGCAAGUCGAGCGGCAGCACAGUAAGAGCUUGCUCUUACGGGUGGCGAGUGGCGGACGGGUGAGGAAUACAUCGGAAUCUACUUUUUCGUGGGGGAUAACGUAGGGAAACUUACGCUAAUACCGCAUACGACCUACGGGUGAAAGCAGGGGAUCUUCGGACCUUGCGCGAUUGAAUGAGCCAAUGUCGGAUUAGCUAGUUGGCGGGGUAAAGGCCCACCAAGGCGACGAUCCGUAGCUGGUCUGAGAGGAUGAUCAGCCACACUGGAACUGAGACACGGUCCAGACUCCUACGGGAGGCAGCAGUGGGGAAUAUUGGACAAUGGGCGCAAGCCUGAUCCAGCCAUACCGCGUGGGUGAAGAAGGCCUUCGGGUUGUAAAGCCCUUUUGUUGGGAAAGAAAAGCAGCAGGUUAAUACCCCGCUGUUCUGACGGUACCCAAAGAAUAAGCACCGGCUAACUUCGUG